ensembl:lncRNA
GGGGAGGUUGGUCUCUGUAGGGCCCAAACUAAUUCACCACAACGAGGAGGAAAGCCCAGAGCUCAUUUCUGAACCUAUUGUUGACGCGUUGCUAUUCCGUACGCGUGUUUAACAGCUCUAAAAGCCAUGCCCUGAAGCUGAUCUACUGAUAAAUUGCUCUGCAGCUCCCUCUAAUGGAUCGUUUGGCCAGACAGGGGCUCGGGGCAGCAGAUGCGAUAAAGCAGCGCCCGCUGCAGAGUAACACCGAGAGAGCUCUGCAGCACCAUCGUUGCCGCUGCUAUCUCUCCCCGUCCAUCCGUCACUUCACUCUUAUCUCAGCAUCUGCUGCAGCUCUGCUUCUAAGAGCUGAGAGGAGCAGGCACAGCUAAACCAGAAGGUGAUACCCAUAAAAGCCGUAUUUCAUUUGCACGCACAACAGCCUCUGCCUGUCACGUUUCUAUCUCGUGCUUAUGGGUACCAGCAAGAUUCAGUCUGAUCAUUUGUGUCAAACCCCACCUGCAGAUAGCUACAACACUGCUGGUUUUUUAGAAGAAGGAGGCCCACAGCUCACAGACGAGAGCACCUGAGGUGACUUGUGGCAAUGGAUUCAUUCAGGAAAUAAUCUUUUGGUCCACGUAGGCCAUGCACAGCCUUUCCACAGAAUGACAGAAUCAUUAAGGUUGGACGAGACCUCUCAGAUCACCCAGUCCAACCACCAGCCCAUCUUCUCCAUGCCCACUGACCACGUCCCUCAGUGCCACAUCCACAUGAGUCUUGAACACCUCCAGGGACGGUGACUCCAACCCCUCCCUGGGCAGCCCGUGCCACUGCCAGAUGCCAUGGGACAGCUGCAUGAGCAUCUGAGACAGGUAAUCAAGCAACAAGUUCCCCAUACCAAUACAAAUCUCAGUUGCAGUCUAGGUGCAAUUGGAGCUACCCCACAGCCUCGCAGCAGGACUCAGCCAGGAGGCCAAUGCUCAGGGCUCAGCUAACGAGGCUGUCAGCACAUAUACAUGAUGUAUCCAUGUUGUCUGGGGUUAUAACUUACAGUUUUGGCACUCUUUCACAAGGCAUAACAAGAAUCUUGCCUGGAGCGUUCAGUGAGAUACAGACUAAGAAGGUGGAGGCACUAAAGGAAAAGACCAAUCCAACAAGCAACUGACAGAUAAAGUAGAUGUGAGGAAAUCACAGAGCUGAGCUGCCAGGACACUCCUGCAAGCAGCUCACCAUGCGGUCCAGGAUUCAGAUGUAGUUCCAGCGUUGCCAUAAGCCCAUCUGAACCCGCUGUCCCUUCUGUCCCGGCCCUUUGUUUUGAGAAGCAACAUCCUCAGUGUCCAGUGCAUGGGGCCUGCAGCUGCAAGGAAAGGCUGGUCAGCAGCCUGCCCUUGCUCCACAGCAUGAGGGAAAAGCAGCCAGUUCCCAGCAGGAUCAGCAAACUGCUCUACAUUGUCAUAAGGCCGUACGACUGCAGAGUGGGCAGAAGAAAGGUGGUUAUGAUGUACUGCAAGGGCAAGGGGGAGGCUGCUACUUCUCUCUUUUUCCUCUUUUCCACAGGCAGCCUGCAGUUAUAUUUCCCUAAGCUGACCAUGAAGGGACAAAGCAGCUUCUUAUGAAGUGGAGAUGACAACGCUUUGCUGGUGGUAAAAAAUAAAAAUAAAAAAUAAAAAAUAGAUCUAAUGUUGUGAUUGUACAGCUGGGGAAAAAAAUAGUCGGCCAAGUAUGUCAGACAACAAAAAUAAGCAAAAAUUACUUUGAUUUGGCUUCUACUAAAGGGACUAAAAAUAAAUACUUCUUUCAGAGGCCCCUUCUCAGAACAGGGGAUCGUGGAGGGCCCACAAUCCUUAUAUCAAAACACUGAAUUAGUGAAUCUGGA